UAGGGAAUCUUCGGCAAUGGACGAAAGUCUGACCGAGCAACGCCGCGUGAGCGAAGAAGGUUUUCGGCUCGUAAAACUCCGUUGUUAGAGAAGAACAAGGACGUUAGUAACUGAACGUCCCCUGACGGUAUCUAACCAGAAAGCCACGGCUAACUACGUGCCAGCAGCCGCGGUAAUACGUAGGUGGCAAGCGUUGUCCGGAGUCAUUGGGCGGAAAGCGAGCGCAGGCGGUUUCUUAAGUCUGAUGUGAAAGCCCCCGGCUCAACCGGGGAGGGUCGUUGGAAACUGGGAGACUGGAGUGCAGAAGAGGAGAGUGGAAUUCAAUGUGUAGCGGUGAAAUGAGAAGAUAUAUGGAGGAACACCGGUGGCGAUGGCGGCUCUCUGGUCUGUAACUGACGCUGAGGCUCGAAAGCGUGGGGGGCAAACAGG
rnacentral:rRNA from 1 species